rnacentral:tRNA from 1 species
UCCCUGAUAGCUCAGUUGGUAAAGAAUCUGCUUGCAAUGCAGAAGACCCCAGUUCAAUUCCUGGGUUGGGAA